AAACUUAAAGGAAUUGACGGAACCCGCACAAGCGGUGGAGUAUGUUGUUAAUUCGAAGAUACACGAAGAACCUUACCAGGUCUUGACAUACCAUUGACAGGCGCAGAGAUGUGCUCUCCUUCGGGCAAUGGAUACGGGUGGUGCAUGGUUGUCGUCAGCUCGUGCCGUGAGGUGUUGGGUUAAGUCCCGCAACGAGCGCAACCCUCAUUGUUAGUUACUACCAUUCAGUUGAGGACUCUAAUGAGACUGCCAACGAUAAGUUGGAGGAAGGUGGGGAUGACGUCAAAUCAUCAUGCCCUUUAUGACCUGGGCUACAAACGUACUACAAUGGCCAAUACAAAGAGAUGCGAAGCGGUGACGUGGAGCGAACCUCAGAAAGUUGGUCUCAGUUCAGAUUGAAGUCUGCAACUCGACUUCAUGAAGGCGGAAUCGCUAGUAAUCGCGGGUCAGCAGACCGCGGUGAAUACGUUCCCGGGUUUU
rnacentral:rRNA from 1 species